GUGAGGAAUAUUGGACAAUGGCCGGAAGGCUGAUCCAGCCAUGCCGCGUGCGGGAAGACGGCCCUAUGGGUUGUAAACCGCUUUUGCGAGGGAGCAAUAAGGUCCACGUGUGGGCCGAUGAGAGUACCUCGCGAAUAAGCAUCGGCUAACUCCGUGCCAGCAGCCGCGGUAAUACGGAGGAUGCAAGCGUUAUCCGGAUUUAUUGGGUUUAAAGGGUGCGCAGGCGGCUUGCUAAGCGGGAGGUGAAAUGCCGGCGCUCAACGUCGGAAGUGCCUCCCGAACUGGUGGGCUGGAAUGACUCUGCCGUGGGAGGAAUGUGUAGUGUAGCGGUGAAAUGCUUAGAGAUUACACAGAACACCGAUUGCGAAGGCAUCUCACGAAGGGUUGAUUGACGCUGAGGCACGAAAGCGUGGGGAUCAAACAGG
rnacentral:rRNA from 1 species